rnacentral:rRNA from 1 species
CGACCUCAGAUCGGGCGAGACUACCCGCUGAAUUUAAGCAUAUCAAUAAGCGGAGGAAAAGAAACUAACAAGGAU